rnacentral:misc_RNA from 1 species
GUGAAUCAUCAAAUUUUUGAACGCAAAUUGCACUCUCCGGUUUUCCGGGGGCGGAUGCCUGGUUGGGGGUCAAAUUAACAAAUAAUCGAGGGUGCUGCGGUGGCGGCUCUUCGGAAUUGGGUCAUCUUUAACCUUUCGGGUGUAAGCGAGCUAAAAUUUUUUUUACGAUUUUUACGAAACUGUCUAAGAAUUUCUUGUAUGAUAACGACA